rnacentral:rRNA from 1 species
GGUUAAGCGACUAAGCGUACACGGUGGAUGCCCUGGCAGUCAGAGGCGAUGAAGGACGUGCUAAUCUGCGAUAAGCGUCGGUAAGGUGAUAUGAACCGUUAUAACCGGCGAUUUCCGAAUGGGGAAACCCAGUGUGAUUCGUCACACUAUCAUUAACUGAAUCCAUAGGUUAAUGAGGCGAACCGGGGGAACUGAAACAUCUAAGUACCCCGAGGAAAAGAAAUCAACCGAGAUUCCCCCAGUAGCGGCGAGCGAACGGGGAGCAGCCCAGAGCCUGAAUCAGUGUGUGUGUUAGUGGAAGCGUCUGGAAAGGCGCGCGAUACAGGGUGACAGCCCCGUACACAAAAAUGCACAUACUGUGAGCUCGAUGAGUAGGGCGGGACACGUGGUAUCCUGUCUGAAUAUGGGGGGACCAUCCUCCAAGGCUAAAUACUCCUGACUGACCGAUAGUGAACCAGUACCGUGAGGGAAAGGCGAAAAGAACCCCGGCGAGGGGAGUGAAAAAGAACCUGAAACCGUGUACGUACAAGCAGUGGGAGCCUCUUAAUGGGGUGACUGCGUACCUUUUGUAUAAUGGGUCAGCGACUUAUAUUCUGUAGCAAGGUUAACCGAAUAGGGGAGCCGAAGGGAAACCGAGUCUUAACUGGGCGUUAAGUUGCAGGGUAUAGACCCGAAACCCGGUGAUCUAGCCAUGGGCAGGUUGAAGGUUGGGUAACACUAACUGGAGGACCGAACCGACUAAUGUUGAAAAAUUAGCGGAUGACUUGUGGCUGGGGGUGAAAGGCCAAUCAAACCGGGAGAUAGCUGGUUCUCCCCGAAAGCUAUUUAGGUAGCGCCUCGUGAAUUCAUCUCCGGGGGUAGAGCACUGUUUCGGCAAGGGGGUCAUCCCGACUUACCAACCCGAUGCAAACUGCGAAUACCGGAGAAUGUUAUCACGGGAGACACACGGCGGGUGCUAACGUCCGUCGUGAAGAGGGAAACAACCCAGACCGCCAGCUAAGGUCCCAAAGUCAUGGUUAAGUGGGAAACGAUGUGGGAAGGCCCAGACAGCCAGGAUGUUGGCUUAGAAGCAGCCAUCAUUUAAAGAAAGCGUAAUAGCUCACUGGUCGAGUCGGCCUGCGCGGAAGAUGUAACGGGGCUAAACCAUGCACCGAAGCUGCGGCAGCGACACUAUGUGUUGUUGGGUAGGGGAGCGUUCUGUAAGCCUGCGAAGGUGUACUGUGAGGUAUGCUGGAGGUAUCAGAAGUGCGAAUGCUGACAUAAGUAACGAUAAAGCGGGUGAAAAGCCCGCUCGCCGGAAGACCAAGGGUUCCUGUCCAACGUUAAUCGGGGCAGGGUGAGUCGACCCCUAAGGCGAGGCCGAAAGGCGUAGUCGAUGGGAAACAGGUUAAUAUUCCUGUACUUGGUGUUACUGCGAAGGGGGGACGGAGAAGGCUAUGUUGGCCGGGCGACGGUUGUCCCGGUUUAAGCGUGUAGGCUGGUUUUCCAGGCAAAUCCGGAAAAUCAAGGCUGAGGCGUGAUGACGAGGCACUACGGUGCUGAAGCAACAAAUGCCCUGCUUCCAGGAAAAGCCUCUAAGCAUCAGGUAACAUCAAAUCGUACCCCAAACCGACACAGGUGGUCAGGUAGAGAAUACCAAGGCGCUUGAGAGAACUCGGGUGAAGGAACUAGGCAAAAUGGUGCCGUAACUUCGGGAGAAGGCACGCUGAUAUGUAGGUGAAGUCCCUCGCGGAUGGAGCUGAAAUCAGUCGAAGAUACCAGCUGGCUGCAACUGUUUAUUAAAAACACAGCACUGUGCAAACACGAAAGUGGACGUAUACGGUGUGACGCCUGCCCGGUGCCGGAAGGUUAAUUGAUGGGGUUAGCGCAAGCGAAGCUCUUGAUCGAAGCCCCGGUAAACGGCGGCCGUAACUAUAACGGUCCUAAGGUAGCGAAAUUCCUUGUCGGGUAAGUUCCGACCUGCACGAAUGGCGUAAUGAUGGCCAGGCUGUCUCCACCCGAGACUCAGUGAAAUUGAACUCGCUGUGAAGAUGCAGUGUACCCGCGGCAAGACGGAAAGACCCCGUGAACCUUUACUAUAGCUUGACACUGAACAUUGAGCCUUGAUGUGUAGGAUAGGUGGGAGGCUUUGAAGUGUGGACGCCAGUCUGCAUGGAGCCGACCUUGAAAUACCACCCUUUAAUGUUUGAUGUUCUAACGUUGGCCCCUGAUCGGGGUUGCGGACAGUGUCUGGUGGGUAGUUUGACUGGGGCGGUCUCCUCCUAAAGAGUAACGGAGGAGCACGAAGGUUGGCUAAUCCUGGUCGGACAUCAGGAGGUUAGUGCAAUGGCAUAAGCCAGCUUGACUGCGAGCGUGACGGCGCGAGCAGGUGCGAAAGCAGGUCAUAGUGAUCCGGUGGUUCUGAAUGGAAGGGCCAUCGCUCAACGGAUAAAAGGUACUCCGGGGAUAACAGGCUGAUACCGCCCAAGAGUUCAUAUCGACGGCGGUGUUUGGCACCUCGAUGUCGGCUCAUCACAUCCUGGGGCUGAAGUAGGUCCCAAGGGUAUGGCUGUUCGCCAUUUAAAGUGGUACGCGAGCUGGGUUUAGAACGUCGUGAGACAGUUCGGUCCCUAUCUGCCGUGGGCGCUGGAGAACUGAGGGGGGCUGCUCCUAGUACGAGAGGACCGGAGUGGACGCAUCACUGGUGUUCGGGUUGUCAUGCCAAUGGCACUGCCCGGUAGCUAAAUGCGGAAGAGAUAAGUGCUGAAAGCAUCUAAGCACGAAACUUGCCCCGAGAUGAGUUCUCCCUGACUCCCUGAGAGUCCUGAAGGAACGUUGAAGACGACGACGUUGAUAGGCCGGGUGUGUAAGCGCAGCGAUGCGUUGAGCUAACCGGUACUAAUGAACCGUGAGGCUUAACCUU